rnacentral:misc_RNA from 1 species
GAUGAAGAACGUAGCGAAAUGCGAUAAGUAAUGUGAAUUGCAGAAUUCAGUGAAUCAUCGAAUCUUUGAACGCACAUUGCGCCCGCUGGUAUUCCGGCGGGCAUGCCUGUUCGAGCGUCAUUUCAACCCUCAAGCUCUCCGGAGUUUGGUGUUGGGGCGCCUGGGGCUUUUCGACCUCAGGGCCCUCAAGUCCAUCGGCGGGACCGCCAGGACACUGAGCGCAGUAGUAUUAUUUCGCUCGGUAGGAUCUUCCACGGCGGGUCGAUCUGGCCGCUAAACCCCCCAAUUCUCACCAAAGGUUGACCUCGGAUCAGGUAGGAAUACCCGCUGAACUUAAGCAUAUCAUAAGCGGAGGA